AAAAGAAUAAUCUAUUUAAGCUGCUAACUUAAACUCAAGUGAAUAAAACCAUUUUUCUUUUA
rnacentral:tRNA from 1 species